AACUUCGGGCUCAAGUCCGCGCCGUGCGCCCUGCGCCGUGCGCCCGGCUCUCCGCGCGCCGCCGCCGCCGCCACAUCUGGAAGCGUUCAGCGCGUCUGCCUCCAGCGCGCCGGGCGGGCGCGGGCAGGGGAGGGCGCGGGCGCGGCGCGGCGCGGCGGGGCUGGGCUGGGCGGCAGUGAGCGCGGCGCUCUCUCGCGCGCCCGGUGUCUCCCUCUCCCUGCCUCUGCAGAAACAGCUCCCUGCCAGAACGGCGCUCGGCGCGGCGCGGCCCGGAGCGGCGGCGGCGCCUCUUCCUGCCUGCUCGCCCUCAGGAGUUGCUGGAUCUUUUUGACAGAGAAAAGCCGACAGGGGCCUCGGGGAGGACUGGCCACGAGCGGGCAGAGACGUUUCAGCCCCCCUGCUGGCCGGGCGGACCCCUCUCCCUCCGUCCGGGGGUCCGCCGCUCCCCCACUCCCCUCCUUUCCGCCUCUUCUCGCUCUGCCUCUCUAGAUUUAUUUUUUCAAAUGGUGUAGCCGCCAGAGGUGCGGUGCUAAAUUCUUGGAAGGGGCCCGGAUGUACUGAGGAUGCAUUACAAUUUCACAAAAGGAGGCAGUAGUGGAAAGGAGCAGUUUUUGGUGUUUGAUGCAAUAAUGGGAAUCAGGUAAUCAUCAGAAGGGAAGAAGAAAUACUGCAGAUCCACGGCUUCCUUGAAUUUUGCACGAAAGCCGACCUCGGAGGAGGGAUUAAUCCAGACCCGCUUGGGGGUGUUUUGCCAUUUCUUCCUCUUCGUGGCUUCUCCUUUUAAAACAAUUUUUGGUCAAUGGUCAAUGAGAACACGAGGAUGUACAUUCCAGAGGAAAACCAUCAAGGUUCCAACUAUGGGAGCCCGCGCCCCGCUCAUGCCAACAUGAAUGCCAAUGCCGCUGCAGGGCUCGCCCCUGAGCACAUCCCUACACCGGGGGCGGCCUUGUCCUGGCAGGCGGCCAUUGACGCGGCCCGGCAGGCCAAGCUGAUGGGGAGCGCCGGCAACGCGACCAUCUCCACGGUCAGCUCCACACAGCGGAAGCGGCAGCAGUACGGGAAACCCAAGAAGCAGGGCAGCACGACAGCCACGCGCCCGCCCCGUGCCCUGCUCUGCCUGACUCUGAAGAACCCCAUCCGGAGGGCGUGCAUCAGCAUUGUCGAAUGGAAACCAUUUGAAAUAAUUAUUUUACUGACUAUUUUUGCCAAUUGUGUGGCCUUAGCGAUCUAUAUUCCCUUUCCAGAAGAUGACUCCAACGCCACCAAUUCCAACCUGGAACGAGUGGAAUAUCUCUUUCUCAUAAUUUUUACUGUGGAAGCAUUUCUAAAAGUAAUAGCCUAUGGACUUCUCUUUCACCCCAACGCUUACCUCCGCAAUGGUUGGAAUUUACUAGAUUUUAUAAUUGUGGUUGUAGGGCUUUUUAGUGCAAUUUUAGAACAAGCAACCAAAGCCGAUGGGGCAAAUGCUCUGGGAGGGAAAGGAGCUGGAUUUGACGUGAAGGCACUGAGGGCAUUCCGUGUGCUGCGCCCCUUGCGCCUGGUGUCUGGAGUCCCAAGUCUCCAGGUGGUUCUGAAUUCCAUUAUCAAGGCCAUGGUGCCCCUGCUGCAUAUUGCCCUGCUAGUGCUAUUUGUCAUCAUCAUCUAUGCUAUCAUCGGCCUGGAGCUCUUCAUGGGGAAGAUGCAUAAGACCUGCUACAAUCAGGAGGGCAUAGCAGAUGUUCCAGCAGAAGAUGAUCCUUCCCCUUGUGCUCUGGAGACAGGCCAUGGGCGGCAGUGUCAGAACGGCACUGUGUGCAAGCCCGGGUGGGACGGGCCCAAGCACGGCAUCACCAACUUCGACAAUUUUGCCUUCGCCAUGUUGACGGUGUUCCAGUGCAUCACCAUGGAGGGCUGGACAGACGUGCUGUACUGGGUCAAUGAUGCCGUAGGAAGGGACUGGCCCUGGAUCUAUUUUGUUACACUAAUCAUCAUAGGGUCAUUUUUUGUACUUAACUUGGUUCUCGGUGUUCUUAGCGGAGAGUUUUCCAAAGAGAGGGAGAAGGCCAAGGCUCGGGGAGAUUUCCAGAAGCUUCGAGAGAAGCAGCAGCUGGAAGAGGACCUGAAGGGCUACCUGGACUGGAUCACCCAGGCAGAGGACAUCGACCCCGAGAAUGAGGAUGAAGGCAUGGAUGAGGAGAAGCCCCGAAACAGAGGCACACCAGCGGGCUUGCUUGAUCAGAAGAAAGGGAAGUUUGCUUGGUUUAGUCACUCCACAGAAACCCAUGUGAGCAUGCCCACAAGCGAGACCGAGUCUGUCAACACCGAAAACGUGGCUGGAGGUGACAUCGAGGGAGAGAACUGCGGGGCCAGGCUGGCCCACCGGAUUUCCAAAUCAAAGUUCAGCCGCUACUGGCGCCGGUGGAACCGGUUCUGCAGAAGAAAGUGUCGUGCCGCAGUCAAGUCUAAUGUCUUCUACUGGCUUGUGAUCUUCCUGGUGUUCCUCAACACGCUCACCAUCGCCUCGGAACACUACAACCAGCCCCACUGGCUCACGGAGGUGCAAGACACGGCCAACAAGGCACUGCUGGCCCUUUUCACUGCAGAGAUGCUGCUGAAGAUGUACAGCCUAGGCCUGCAGGCCUACUUUGUGUCCCUCUUCAACCGCUUUGACUGCUUCAUCGUGUGCGGGGGCAUCCUGGAGACCAUCCUGGUGGAGACCAAGAUCAUGUCUCCCUUGGGCAUCUCUGUGCUGAGAUGUGUCCGGCUGCUGCGGAUAUUUAAAAUCACAAGGUACUGGAACUCCUUAAGCAACCUGGUGGCAUCCUUGCUGAAUUCUGUGCGCUCCAUUGCCUCCCUGCUGCUGCUCCUCUUCCUCUUCAUCAUCAUCUUCUCUCUCCUGGGGAUGCAGCUCUUUGGGGGAAAGUUCAACUUUGAUGAAAUGCAGACCCGGAGGAGCACAUUUGAUAACUUUCCCCAGUCCCUCCUCACUGUGUUUCAGAUCCUGACCGGGGAGGACUGGAAUUCGGUGAUGUAUGAUGGGAUCAUGGCUUAUGGCGGCCCCUCUUUUCCAGGGAUGUUAGUCUGUAUUUACUUCAUCAUCCUCUUCAUCUGUGGAAACUAUAUCCUACUGAAUGUGUUCUUGGCCAUUGCUGUGGACAACCUGGCUGAUGCUGAGAGCCUCACAUCUGCCCAAAAGGAGGAGGAAGAAGAGAAGGAGAGAAAGAAGCUGGCCAGGACUGCCAGCCCAGAGAAGAAACAAGAGGUGGUAGAGAAGCCAGCAGUGGAGGAGACCAAGGAGGAGAAAAUUGAACUGAAAUCCAUUACAGCUGAUGGAGAGUCCCCACCCACCACCAAGAUCAACAUGGAUGACCUCCAGCCCAAUGAAAAUGAGGAUAAGAGUUCCUACGCAAACCCAGAAAAUACAGGAGAAGAGGAUGAGGAGGAGCCUGAGAUGCCUGUGGGCCCCCGCCCACGACCACUCUCUGAGCUGCACCUUAAGGAAAAGGCAGUGCCCAUGCCAGAAGCCAGUGCGUUUUUCAUCUUCAGCCCCAACAACAGAUUUCGCCUCCAGUGUCACCGCAUCGUCAAUGACACAAUCUUCACCAACCUGAUCCUCUUCUUCAUUCUGCUCAGCAGCAUUUCCCUGGCAGCUGAGGACCCCGUCCAGCACACCUCCUUCAGGAACCAUAUUCUGUUUUAUUUUGACAUUGUUUUCACUACCAUUUUCACCAUUGAAAUUGCUCUGAAGAUGACUGCUUAUGGGGCUUUCCUACACAAGGGCUCUUUUUGCCGAAACUACUUCAACAUCUUGGACCUGCUGGUGGUCAGCGUGUCCCUCAUUUCCUUUGGCAUCCAGUCCAGCGCAAUCAACGUGGUGAAGAUCUUACGAGUCCUGCGCGUCCUCAGGCCCCUGAGGGCCAUCAACAGGGCCAAGGGGCUAAAGCACGUGGUUCAGUGCGUGUUUGUUGCCAUCCGGACCAUCGGGAACAUCGUGAUUGUCACCACACUGCUUCAGUUCAUGUUCGCCUGCAUCGGGGUCCAGCUUUUCAAGGGAAAGCUCUACACCUGCUCAGAUAGUUCCAAACAGACUGAGGCGGAAUGCAAGGGUAACUACAUCACAUACAAGGACGGGGAGGUCGACCACCCCAUCAUCCAACCCCGCAGCUGGGAGAACAGCAAGUUUGACUUUGACAAUGUUCUGGCGGCCAUGAUGGCCCUCUUUACCGUCUCUACCUUUGAGGGGUGGCCAGAGCUGCUGUACCGCUCCAUCGACUCCCACACAGAAGACAAGGGCCCCAUCUACAACUACCGUGUGGAGAUCUCCAUCUUUUUCAUCAUCUAUAUCAUCAUCAUUGCCUUCUUCAUGAUGAAUAUCUUCGUGGGUUUCGUCAUUGUCACCUUCCAGGAGCAGGGGGAGCAGGAAUACAAGAACUGUGAGCUGGACAAGAACCAGCGACAGUGCGUGGAAUAUGCCCUCAAGGCCCGGCCCCUGCGGAGGUACAUUCCCAAGAACCAGCACCAGUACAAAGUGUGGUACGUGGUCAACUCCACCUACUUUGAAUACCUGAUGUUCGUCCUCAUCCUGCUCAACACCAUCUGCUUGGCCAUGCAGCACUACGGCCAGAGCUGCCUCUUCAAAAUUGCCAUGAACAUCCUCAACAUGCUCUUCACUGGCCUCUUCACCGUGGAGAUGAUUCUGAAGCUCAUUGCCUUCAAACCCAAGGGUUACUUUAGUGAUCCCUGGAAUGUUUUUGACUUCCUCAUCGUAAUUGGCAGCAUAAUUGACGUCAUUCUCAGUGAAACUAAUCACUAUUUCUGUGAUGCAUGGAAUACAUUUGACGCCUUGAUUGUUGUGGGUAGCAUUGUUGAUAUAGCAAUCACCGAGGUAAACCCAGCUGAACAUACCCAAUGCUCUCCCUUUAUGAACGCAGAGGAGAACUCCCGCAUCUCCAUCACCUUCUUCCGCCUCUUCCGGGUCAUGCGCCUGGUCAAGCUGCUGAGCCGCGGGGAGGGCAUUCGGACCCUGCUGUGGACCUUCAUCAAGUCCUUCCAGGCCCUGCCUUAUGUGGCUCUUCUGAUAGUGAUGCUGUUCUUCAUCUACGCAGUGAUCGGGAUGCAGGUGUUUGGGAAAAUUGCCCUGAAUGACACCACAGAGAUCAACCGGAACAACAACUUCCAGACCUUCCCCCAAGCUGUGCUGCUUCUCUUCAGGUGUGCCACAGGGGAGGCAUGGCAGGACAUCAUGCUGGCCUGCAUGCCAGGGAAGAAGUGUGCCCCCGAGUCGGAGCCCAGCAACAGCACAGAAGGCGAAAUGCCCUGUGGCAGCAGCUUCGCGGUCUUCUACUUCAUCAGCUUCUACAUGCUCUGUGCCUUCCUGAUCAUCAACCUCUUUGUAGCCGUCAUCAUGGACAACUUUGACUACCUGACAAGGGACUGGUCAAUUCUUGGUCCCCAUCAUCUGGAUGAAUUUAAAAGAAUCUGGGCAGAGUAUGAUCCUGAAGCCAAGGGUCGUAUCAAACACCUAGAUGUGGUGACCCUACUCCGGCGGAUUCAGCCCCCACUGGGUUUUGGGAAGUUGUGCCCUCACCGCGUGGCUUGCAAACGCCUGGUCUCCAUGAACAUGCCUCUGAACAGUGAUGGGACAGUCAUGUUCAAUGCCACCCUGUUUGCCCUGGUCCGGACAGCCCUGCGAAUUAAAACAGAAGGAAACCUAGAACAAGCCAACGAGGAGCUGCGGGCCAUAAUCAAGAAGAUCUGGAAGCGGACCAGUAUGAAGCUGCUGGACCAAGUAGUGCCCCCAGCAGGUGAUGAUGAGGUCACGGUUGGCAAGUUUUAUGCUACUUUCCUGAUCCAGGAGUACUUCCGGAAAUUCAAGAAGCGCAAAGAGCAGGGUCUGGUGGGCAAACCCUCCCAGAGGAACGCCCUAUCCCUGCAGGCUGGCUUGCGCACGCUGCAUGACAUCGGGCCUGAGAUCCGACGGGCCAUCUCUGGAGAUCUGACGGCCGAGGAGGAGCUGGACAAGGCCAUGAAGGAGGCUGUGUCUGCUGCCUCCGAAGACGACAUCUUCAGGAGGGCCGGCGGCCUGUUCGGCAACCACGUCAGCUGCUACCAAAGCGACGGCCGGAGCGCCUUCCCCCAGACCUUCACUACCCAGCGCCCACUGCACAUCAACAAGGCAGCUAACAGCCAAGGCGACACCGGGUCGCCGUCCCACGAGAAACUGGUGGACUCCACUUUCACCCCCAGCAGCUACUCGUCCACUGGCUCCAACGCCAACAUCAACAAUGCCAACAACACUGCCCUGGGCCGCUUCCCCCGCCCCACUGGCUACCCCAGCGCGGUCAGCACCGUAGAGGGCCGUGGGCCCCCCUUGUCUCCUGCCGUCCGGGUACAGGAGGCAGCCUGGAAGCUCAGCUCCAAGAGGUGCCACUCCCGGGAGAGCCAGAUAGCCAUGGUGUGUCAGGAGGAGGUCUCUCAGGCCGAGCCCUAUGACGUGCGGAUGAGCGAAGACACCGAGUACUGCAGCGAGCCCAGCCUGAUCUCCACAGAGAUGCUCUCCUAUCAGGACGAUGAAAAUCGGCAAUUAACCCCACCUGAGGAGGACAAGAGAGGUGUCCAGCAAUCUCCAAAGAGGGGUUUCCUCCGCUCUGCCUCACUAGGUCGAAGGGCCUCCUUCCACCUGGAAUGUCUGAAGCGACAGAAGAAUCAAGGGGGAGACGUCUCUCAGAAGACAGUUCUGCCCUUGCAUCUGGUUCAUCAUCAGGCAUUGGCAGUGGCUGGCCUGAGCCCCCUCCUGCAGAGAAGCCAUUCCCCCAGCACGUCCCCCAGGCCGUGCGCCACCCCCCCAGCCACACCGGGCAGCCGAGGCUGGCCCCCACAGCCGAUCCCCACCCUGAGGCUGGAGGGCACCGAGUCCAGUGAGAAACUCAACAGCAGCUUCCCGUCCAUCCACUGCAGCUCCUGGUCAGGGGAGCCCACGCCCUGCGCUGGGGGCAGCAGCGCCAUCCGGAGAGCCCGGCCGGUGUCCCUCACUGUGCCCAGCCAGGCUGGAGCCCGGGGCAGGCAGUUCCACGGCAGUGCCAGCAGUCUGGUGGAAGCGGUCUUGAUUUCAGAAGGACUGGGGCAGUUUGCUCAAGAUCCCAAGUUUAUCGAGGUCACAACCCAGGAGCUGGCUGAUGCCUGUGACAUGACCAUAGAGGAGAUGGAGAACGCCGCCGACAACAUCCUCAGUGGGGGCACCCAGCAGAGCCCCAACGGCACCCUACUACCUUUUGUUAACUGCAGGGACCCGGGGCAGGACAGAGCGGGGGGCCAAGAGGGCGAGAGCUGCACCACGGCUCGGGCGUGUCGGAGGAGCGAGGAGGAGCGCCAGGACAGCAGAGCCCACACCGGCAGCCUGUAGUCGCUAGGGCUGGGGAGACGCUGGGUUUUUUAUUUGUUUCAAUGUUCCUAAUGGGUUCGUUUCAGAAGUGCCUCACUGUUCUCGUGACCUGGAGUUAACCGGAACAGCGUCUUCAUUCAUUUCGUUGGGACAAGACGCAGAGUUGGGUGGUGUGCAGAAUCCGUUUUCCGGGGGGAAGGAAGGCAGCAACCCCAGUUUGUGUUGUGUCCACAGAGGUAGAGUGGUGAGGAGGAGUGGAAGAAUCAGGGAGGGAGAGCAAGAGAAGAGAUGCCUGCCCUCACCUCCGGGCGUGAAAGAGAACCUCAGCUUCCUGCGGUAGCCCUCACCAAAAGGACCCUAUGUCAAACGGGUGUCUUUCAACUUUGCUUGUAAAAAAAAAAAAAAUCAUUUUGCACAUAUUCUGUAUGAGCCUCACUGUCUCCAUAGAGCCGGGGCCCUGUGGAUUUGCAGAAGGAAGCAGGGGUGUGACUGCAGCGAGGACCCAGCCCCGUCCCAGAGAGGGACGAGGUGCAGCCCGAGGCAGCAGGAGCUCGGGAGCAGAAGGGAGCGGAGGGCGAGGGCUGUGUGCGGCCCCCAAGGCCCAGGCUCCCCGCCGCGCCCCGCCCGUCUGCAUCAGGACCAGCGUCCCUGCACGGGCCCACCGAGCUCCAGCCCAGCGGCUGGGCCUGCAUCGGGGCGACGGGGCACUGGCACCGCCUGCCAGGGAAGGGGCAGCCGGCCCUUGACAAGACGAGGUGGUGCUGAGCUUCUUGUUGAGCGCUCUUUUGUUUUAGGGUUUGACAUUUUUCUUGAUAGCAUGUUGCAGUUUUCGGGGUUUUUUUUGGUUUCUGUUUUAUUUUAAUUUUGUUUUCCCAGGGGGAGGGGAGGAAAAAGUGUUUACAAAGCUUUGUACACCCACCUUACUGUUUUCACUUUUGCAAAUGUAAAUCGGGUUUGGUUUUACUGUAUUAUUUAAACGGUUGUGGUUUUCUUUUUCUAUGGUAGGUUCAAUAGAGCCGCCGUAGGCAAGUUUUACCAGCCAUUGUGUAUGCGCAAUAAUUUGUUAUAAUUUCCGUAGGUAGUAACAAAAAUUAUUUUGGUUUGGUUUUAUAAUUUAAAGGUAAUGCACUUGAUACGGUCUUGCACAUAUGGGUGAUUGAGUUGGGUUCUUUUUAAUGCGAGGUGUAUUUGUGGGUGCCAGAGAAAGGAAGAUUGGAUGAGCGAGUCUCUGCGAGUAUGUGUGUGUUCUCUGUGUGUGUGUGUGUGUGUGUGUGUGUGUGUGGUGGGCUGUCUGGGCAUCUGUCGUCCAUGUGUAUGUACACCCACACAGUGCGCCCGUGCGUGAAUGAGUGUGUAGCUCCCCCUUUCUGGUCUAACUGUGGGGAGAUCUGAAUCUGGGGCCAUUUGAAAGCAAAAACAAACCACUGUCUCUGCUUCUGAAAUGGGAAUCAGUAACUCUUUGCAUUUCCUGUCCCACAAGAUAUGCAAAAACAAUGCAAUAAUAUUCAUUUUAAAAAUAUAAUUGUGAGUUGUGUUGGCAUUAAAACUGUAUUAAAAAAAAAUGCAGAGAAAUUUAAGGGAAAAACUCAAGAAGGCGUUUUGCUUCGAUAUAUUCCGUGUAAUGUUUUAUUGCAUUGAUAAUGUUUCUGUUGAAGAAACUGUUAUACUUGAAUUCAGGUCAGUUUCAGUAUUUUACAAAUAUUUUUUUAAAACUGAAUUGCAAUUGUGCCAAGCGAAUAUAAUGAAUUGAAUUAAGUUUGUUUUUGAAUUCCCUUCUUGUAUAUUUUGCUGCAUGUAAGUAAAUCAUUUUGUAUUUGGAGUGUGACAAGCUUUACCCUUGAACUCUGAAGUGCUUUUCUAUAUGUGGUUGGGGGAAAGGGAACGAAUAUUCUUUUAAUUUGUACAAUGAGCAAAGGUAUCACCAGUGUAAAUCAUUAUUCUGCGAUCCACCAACAGGUUUGGACUUUACUGUUUUGCAUAUCUUGUGUUCGCUUCCAUUUCCCUCCAUUUUUCCAAAACUAUCUGAUAAGUAUACUUGUACUACAUCUUGCUUUGAGAGACCAGGACAUGUCUUAGUCCUGUGUUCACUCUACCCAUUCUGCUCCAGUUCUCUGAUUUGGACUUUGUCUAGGGGCAGUCCUGCACCAGAAGCAUCAGCAUCCCCUACGGAAGAGGUGGCUGGCUUUUCUGUUCACUUCCACAAACUUUCCUCAGUGGUCUCCUCAGGAAAGCGUACGCUGACUGAGAGGCUGGAGCUAGAGUCGGGCUGCCUGGAGGCCAGGGAAUCCUCCCUCUGGCAACUGCUCUACCCAAAUUCAGACAGCAGGGCCCAGAGAACAGCAACCAGUUUGAGCCUGGAGAACUCCUGUUCUGAUGUUCAUGGAGCCUUCGAGGGUACAAGCAGAGGGAUGAGGAAGAUGAGAGUGAGCGGGCACCAGCCUCGGCAGUGAGUCACUGCCAAAGCUUGCUGAGGGCUGCAGGUCGCCCACACUGCAUGAAGUCUCUCCUGAGCCUGCAACUGGGAGGGGAACGAGAAGGCUCCCUUCUAUAGAGUCACAGGAAGAACAAAAGAGGACAGGUCACAGCAUCCUGUUCCAAGUCCCCUCCCCCUAAAAUUUCCCAACAUGGAGAAACAACAUCAAGGCUUAAAAGAAAAAGACAAGUCUUGGGAAGGAGGGUCGACAAUUGUAAACAAACAACCCUGUGCAAAGAGCUCCUUCAUAAGGUAACUCCAGUGACCCAAAUGCUAUGGGCACUUUUCUGCUUGCACACAUCACACCACCCAUGCAUCGAGCUCCAUCCCAUUCCCCCAAAUUUAUAAUCCAUCUCUUAGUUUCUCAACUAGAUUAGGCACCACCCCAUAGCCACUUCCUGUCCUGCCCAGAACAUGUGCUGUUCUCCCAGAGCCUCGUGGGAAUAGAGUCUAGGACCAAAUAGGCUGUGGCUAUCAAAGGCAUAAACAAAUCUGGACAAGUGGUGGGUUCCCAGCCUGUGACACACUAGAAUGUCUAUUACUCUCAUAAUCUGCUUGUUUUAUUUUAAUACCCUAGAGCUGCCAAGCAGAACUUGGGUCCAUGUCAAAGGCUCCAGAAUAGCCCCUCCUCCCUCCUCUCCUCAUGUCCUCCUGCUCAGGCCCAUCCUCAUGCCCCCAAACCAGUCUGUAUCACGCUUGCUCUCAGCACAACACAGAAAGAUGAACAGUCCUCCAUCGUCAUCCCCCCACCUGUCACCACUCCCACACCUUCUCCUCCAGGCUCCACGACUUCACGGUCUUACUGUUGUAAAUACUGUUGUACAGUUUGUAAUCAUCAAAUAAUCCCGUUGUCAAAGGCCUCGCCUGCUGCGCCUUCUCAACCUCGAGAAAGGCCAAGGAAUCUAGAAGGGGUAACCUUUCGAGAAGAGCUUCAGGGUCAUCUCUGUGUGAGACGCUAUGUAUAUUCCUGUAAGAUUGCAUUUUUAUCUAAGGAAUGAUGUUAUUUAAAAAAACAAAAAACAAAAAACAAAAAACAAGAAUUGCAAAUAAAUUUCUUAACAAUGUCUACACUGGUUUAAUCGUAUUUUCCCUCUUCCACAUCCCUCCUCUUCUCCUGUUAGCUAGAGGUUACAAAAAUACACUGAACUGCCAAAUUACCCUCUCAGAUCCUCCAAAGGAGGGGGGAGGCUGGGAAAAACAUGUGAGAUCUGAAUCCAGUGAUAAUCUCUAACCUUAUUUCAGCAAUUUAUCCAACUUUUCCUUCCAAUGAAAAGGUUAACAGGAAAAUGGUCAAAAGUUGACAAGGAGAUAGAAGGAAUUGAAUGGAUAAUCCACAAAAUAGAAGAGCAGUAACGCCCCCCACCCAAGUAUUUGGAAAGGCACAAAAUUGUUUUUGAAUAAAUGAAGGAAAGAAGGGGGAGGCAAAAAGAAGGAGGGAAGGGGAGAUAAGAUUAUGUAUAUUAAAGUAAUUUAAAGACUAAAAAUGCAAGGUUCUCUUUUUUGUUUUGUUUUAUUAUUAAACUGGCUCUGACAAAGCUUCCAGAAUAAUUCCCUGUGUAAAAAUAAUUUGUCCCAGAAAUCCAUGUGUCUUAGUUGAACACAAUUAUAACAAGAGAAACC